UUUGUUUAGAUGUUGUGGCCUAGAAUAUUGUUUCUAAAUAUAGUUUAAAGAAGGCAAAAUAUCCCUUGGGAAUUCUGUCUAUAUGAAUUUCAGCACAGUAUCUGAUUGUGCUUUCUCAAAAUGCUAUAACAAAUCUAUGCACAGUGAGGGCACAAAUUGUUGUGGUCUGAGCUUUUUAGUCCAUCUUAAAUUUGCCAAGGGCUUGGGUGUGUAAAGGGACUUUUUUUGUUGAACUCCUAUUCAGCAAAAGACCUGAGUGCAUGUUAGGGUUAAUCCCUAUCAGUUUAUGGGGCAGAAAAAUCAGAACAGUAUUCUCGAAUACUUCAGAACAAGGAAUGGUCUUGUGAAAUGCAACAAGAAAAGAAAUAUCAGAAUGUUUCCACCUGUCCAAGUUUUUCAGGAGCCCAGCAGCAUCUCCUGGAGUUGCUCAUACAUAAGGCUGGUUUUGUGACACCAUGGAAGAGACUAGAGACAGUCAGAUGGUUUUAUAUCUACACUACACAACAGUAUAGUAUGCCCUACUGACAGAAAACAAACUGAAAAACUUCAUGCGAAAAGCAAAAAAAUAUAUGAGUUGCAAAGGCAAGUAAAAUUUCUCAGUGUCUAAACUCAUCACUAGGCUAACUUCCCACUAAGUUUGCUUAUCUAGUCUAUAAUAAAAAGGAAUACAAUAGCAUUCUCCAGGUUAAAUGUGAAGUUAAGUUGAAUAAAAGAACACAACGUUCCUAACUCCUGACAGGCAUGCUGGCAUUUCCCCAAAUGUCUCUUUAGAUACUGAGAACACCAGUAUUAUGGCUUCUUGUGCUUCAGAGAUGUCUAAACUCAAUAUGACAGAAAACACUUGUAGGUCUUCUCUUAGGAAGAAUUUCACUAGAAGGAUAGAAAGGUAGUCUUGUAUUCCCCGUAGCUGGCUUUGAAGAUGGAAGAAACACAGCUGUUACCGUUGCUGCAGUUAGCUCAAAGCUGUGGGGUCCUGGGCGUUGAUGACAUAUCCUAGACCAGAUUGUAGCAGCAACAAUCAAGAACUAGAGCAGUCCCCUUUGACUGUUUCAGCACACUUUGGAUCAGGGACACAGAGGAAAAAGUUAUUUUUAACAGCUAUUUCACUCAGGAGGAUUGACAAUGCAGUGGACACCUGCUGUGACCAAAGAAACCUUCAGUGAAAUGGGAGAUUGAAUUUAAUACAAAAAUGCAGCAUGGAUGAUCCAUCUCACAACAGUUCUUCAGGAGUACUGUUGAGUGGUCUCAGCAAUAGCUCGUAGAUUAUACACCAAAGAAGGGGAAGAACAAAGGAUGCUGUCUGUCCUAAAGAGAUAAUAAAAUAAAGAUGGACAGAAAAAGAAUCA
rnacentral:lncRNA from 1 species